CGAAGAACCUUACCAGGUCUUGACAUCCCACUGACCGCUCUAGAGAUAGAGCUUCCCUUCGGGGCAGUGGUGACAGGUGGUGCAUGGUUGUCGUCAGCUCGUGUCGUGAGAUGUUGGGUUAAGUCCCGCAACGAGCGCAACCCUUAUCUUUAGUUGCCAGCAUUCAGUUGGGCACUCUAGAGAGACUGCCGUCGACAAGACGGAGGAAGGCGGGGAUGACGUCAAAUCAUCAUGCCCCUUAUGACCUGGGCUACACACGUGCUACAAUGGUUGGUACAACGGGAUGCUACUUCGCGAGAAGAUGCUAAUCUCUUAAAACCAAUCUCAGUUCGGAUUGUAGGCUGCAACUCGCCUACAUGAAGUCGGAAUCGCUAGUAAUCGCGGAUCAGCAUGCCGCGGUGAAUACGUUCCCGGGUCUUGUACACACCGA
rnacentral:rRNA from 1 species